CGGGCUCCCUGCGCUUCGGUGCGGCCAACCGUCAUGGGGUUGUCUUUUCACUCUCCCUCCCAUGUAUAUUUUGGGUUGGGGUGUUAUUGUCGGUUGCCUGCGCCGUUCUACCCAUGUUGGUAGGAACACCGGACCCUAUAUUGCAUUACGGCCGUCUUGUCGAUAGUGUUCUGUCGGCAGGGCAGCCGCGGCAUCGACAAAAAUUCCUUUUGUUGCAACGGUUGAAUGUAACAGCCAAGGCACUGAAUUGAAUUGUUUGUCGGGUCUCACGGAUGCGGUGCGUAGUUUCUGAGCUAUGAUGGUUCCAUGACCCUCAGGCUUGGCGAUGGCCCCAUGUACGCAUGUAUCAUUACUCCAGCGCGCUCAAUUAAAGCGUUUCGCUUGUAUUGAAGCGUGCGGGGAACGUUCACGCGCACGCGGAAUGGCCAUCUUAUUCGAACGACCGGCGAUUGCCGAUUCAUGCUGUUAGACGGGCCUUCCCGCUUCGGUCGGCCCUCCGGCAGCGCGUGUCGGCCUUUGCUUACGACGUGC
rnacentral:misc_RNA from 1 species